UUCUGUACUUCCCGUUCCUAUGCUGUGUAUGUAGAGCAGCAGGGCUCCAUCUUGCAGGCUGCUGUUUGAAGUUGCUGUAUUAACACUUAGUCAAUGCUUUUUCUUUACAGUAUUGUUUGUGUGUGCGCCGGUGCCCUGCCUCCUCCUCACCCACAUGCUCCAGGGAGUCUCCUGUGUCAGUAAGCAGUGCUAACGAGGGACAAGACAUGGUGUCAGCAGCUGCAGUGCUAGCAGGGAUCUACAAGCAAAGUACCACAGAACUAGCUCUAGGAUGGAUCCUGAGCGUCUUUUCACCAAGCUGGAGCGCAUUGGGAAGGGCUCCUUUGGAGAGGUGUAUAAGGGCAUAGAGAAUCGCAGUAAAGAAGUUGUAGCCAUCAAAAUUAUUGACCUGGAAGAGGCAGAGGAUGAAAUUGAGGACAUACAACAGGAAAUUACAGUGCUGAGCCAGUGUGACAGUCCUUAUAUCACUCGCUAUUAUGGUUCCUACCUGAAGGGAUCAAAGCUAUGGAUAAUAAUGGAGUAUUUGGGAGGAGGCUCUGCUCUGGACCUGCUGAAACCAGGCCCUCUGGAAGAGGCGUACAUUGCCACUAUACUACGAGAAAUCUUAAAAGGACUUGAUUAUUUGCAUUCGGAGAGAAAGAUCCAUCGAGACAUUAAAGCUGCAAAUGUGUUGUUAUCAGAGCAGGGUGAUGUGAAGUUGGCAGAUUUUGGUGUAGCAGGUCAGCUGACUGACACCCAGAUAAAGAGGAACACAUUUGUGGGAACCCCAUUCUGGAUGGCGCCUGAAGUCAUUAAGCAGUCAGCCUACGACUUCAAGGCAGACAUCUGGUCUUUGGGGAUCACAGCCAUUGAGCUGGCCAAAGGAGAGCCUCCAUACUCAGAUCUUCACCCUAUGAGGGUCCUGUUCCUGAUUCCUAAGAACAAUCCUCCGUCUCUCCAGGGCCAGUACAGUAAACCAUUCAAAGAUUUUGUUGAGGCAUGUCUGAACAAGGAUCCGCGAUCGAGGCCUACAGCACGUGAGCUGCUGAAGCACCGCUUCAUACUAAGAUACACUAAGAAAACAUCCUUCCUUGUAGAACUGGUAGAAAGACACAAGCGCUGGAAAUCCCAGGGCCACCGAGAAGAUUCUAGCUCAGAUGAGUCUGACAUGGACAAUGAAGAUGAGCGGAAUCAGAACCAAAUUCCCAUCUGGUCAUUUCCAGAAACCAUCUGUGCCAAGUCCAUGAGCCGAAUGCAGUGGGGCUGUCAGAAGUCAGCAGAAGUCAUUCAUCGCCUGCCACGGUCACACUGUCUAUCAGCCUUAGUAACACCAGUUUUCCAAGAGCUAAGGGAACAGCGCAGUGCUGGAGCAUUUGGUUCAGUGCAGGAGCUGGAAAAUGCCUUUAGCCUGGCCGAGGAGUCGAGCCCUGGAAUCACAGAUCAGCUGAUCUCUCACCUGGUGCAGCGAGUGCAGAGACAAAAGUAACAGCCCUGACACUUUAGAGAACACAGAAGAGUUGCUGCCGUCGUAUAAUGCAGGUUUCUUUUACCAAAUGCAAAAGGUUCUCCACCGCACCAUGAAUUCAUGCACCCAGCCAACAGAUACAUCUCUGCAUUUCCCAUGGCACCAUGGGGCUGUACUGUGAAUGAUCAGACAAAUCAUGCCAUAACAUAUGAAAGAAUUUAUUCAUUAUUUUUCUGAAAAGAUUUCUCAUGAGCCAGUGUUAUAUACAAAUAAACUGACAUUUCAUACAGAUUUUUUGGGAGACAUGAUUUUUUCUAGUUUCCUUAAUUAUAAAGUGACCACUUUGAAUUAGCUGAAAUACAAAUAAUUUAGAGAACUGAAGCCUAAAAACAAAUGUGGGUAGAAGUACUGGAUUUUUGUAGACUAAAUGUACUAAACCAGCUUGAAGUUUCAGAAUCUCUAUAGUAGUAUUGAGUUUUGAGUCUUCAAAGUUGCGCACAGGGGGUUCACCAUCUUGGAUUUUGUUAGAAUUGUCAGUAACACUCAUGCUCAGUGGGCUCUGGGCAGCUGCAGAGAAGCUCAGCUUAGGGGCUGUUGCAAAUCAUCACAUGUCAUAGAAGCGGAUUAUUACAUUUUGAUGCAAAAUACACUGGUUUCUGUGCUCUCAUGUAAUGAGAAUCUGAAUUUAUUAAUAAGCCUUGUAUUGUGACUUUUAUAUUGUGUGUAUAUAUAUAUAUUGUAAGUGGGUCCCUAAGCUCAGGUAAGUGCCAGCAGCACAGAGCAUAUGCAGGGAAUCGGCAGAACAGAAGAUGGGGAGCUACUGGGGCAUCUUUGGGGGCACGGAUCUGGUAGAGAAGCACAAAGCAUAAUGUUCAACAUUUCUACCCUUCUUCUUUGUUAAGCUUUAGUUCUCCUUUAACAAUAACUAAAUGUGAAACUCUCCCUAAACAAAAGCUGGUAUGCUGAUCUCCAGAAACAUUUGACAAAAUUUGGGAACCCUGGCUGCACAAAAGAACAGAAUUAGAAAUCAAUUUAACUGUGCUUGGUGCCUUGUCUGUCCAAUCACCCCAGGCUCCUCUCCUCCUUCCUCUUCUUCUCUCUCUUCUAUUUUAUCUUCUAUUGUUGUAAUGAUGUUUAUUUGUAAAAUUUAAAUAAAAACAAAACCAAUAA